rnacentral:pre_miRNA from 1 species
AUAAAGUUCCUUUGGGUAAGAAGUACUACUUGUCAUCAAAAUGGAUAAAAGGAGAUGUAUCUAGAUGUAUUUUAGUUCUAGAUACGUCCCUUUUUAUCCAUUUUGAGGACAAGUAUUUUCGGACGGAGGGAGCUUAUA